rnacentral:rRNA from 1 species
ACGGGAGGCAGCAGUGGGGAGUAUUGGGCAAUGGGCGAAAGCCUGACCCAGCAACGCCGCGUGAAGGAAGAAGGUCCUCGGAUUGUAAACUUCUUUUAUCAGGGACGAAGAAAGUGACGGUACCUGAUGAAUAAGCCACGGCUAACCACGUGCCAGCAGCCGCGGUAAUACGUAGGUGGCGAGCGUUAUCCGGAUUUACUGGGUGUAAAGGGCGCGUAGGCGGGGAUGCAAGUCAGAUGUGAAAUCCAUGGGCUUAACCCAUGAACUGCAUUUGAAACUGUAUCUCUUGAGUGUCGGAGAGGUAGAUGGAAUUCCUAGUGUAGCGGUGAAAUGCGUAGAUAUUAGGAGGAACACCAGUUGCGAAGGCGAUCUACUGGACGAUAACUGACGCUGAGGCGCGAAAGCGUGGGGAUCAAACAGGAUUAGAUACCCUGGUA